CUGUUUAUUUUAUCUUGUAGCAACUAGCAAAUGUCCAGGACUGAGCAUUAUGUGGACCCCAUCUUAAUUGCUGCUUACACUCUAAACCCCUUCAAAAUUAAUUAUCCAUUAAACUAAUAAUAUUAUACCAGUACUCACAUUUCUUUAGAGAUCAUAAAUUUUCAUCUAAUCAUCCUGUCUGACCCCAAAAUCCUAAUUGUUCAUUGUUUUCCGCAGAUUUCUGGGGUAGGAUCUGAUUAUCAAACUUAUAAGUAAUGGCUAUGCAUGAUGCUAAUGAUGCACCUGAAUGGAUGAAUAGGAUAAAAUCAGAAGGUUCUGUUCCGUUGCUCGAACCUGACAAUUGUUCCAAUGGCUGGGCCUCACCUCCCGGGGACAUUUUUAAAGUUAGGGGUCCUGACUACUUUACAACUAAGGUGAAAAUUCCCGCUGGUGAAUACCUCUUAAAGCCUUUAGGUUUUGAUUGGAUUAAAAGUUCUUCAAAGAUUGUCGACAUUUUAAAAGAUCCAAAUAACCGCAUUAGGAAAGCACUUGAUGAUAAAUUUCCAGAGGGAAACCAACCUUUUGUUUGGGCUUUUAAUCUUCAAGUCCCAAGUAAAGAUAACUACAGUGCUAUUGCAUAUUUUGUGGCUACUGAGCCAUGCACAGAAGGCUCUCUAAUGGAUCAAUUCAUUAAAGGGGAUGAUGUGCUUCGCAAUUCAAGGCUCAAAAUGAUUGCAAAUAUUGUGAAAGGUCCUUGGCUCGUUAAAAAAGCAGUGGGAGAACAGGCCAUUUGUGUAAUCGGUCGAGCCCUUUCGUGCAAGUAUUGUCUGGGAGAGAAUUUCUUAGAAGUGGAUAUUGAUAUUGGAUCUUCAGUGGUGGCCAAUGCUAUUGUUCAUCUUGCUUUUGGUUAUAUUACAUCAUUAACCAUUGAUUUAGCAUUUCUUAUUGAGAGCCAAACAGAAUCAGAUCUUCCCGAGAGACUCUUAGGUGCUUUUAGAUUUUCUGAACUUAACCCUGAUUCUGCUCAGUCUUUUGAAGCUUCAUCAGCUGUGAGUGCUAUGGCUUCACCCCCAGCUCUUGGUAUGCGUUUGUGGAAGUCUAUUGGACAAGGCUUUUCCCAUCUCCUUCAUCCAAACGUACAUGAACCUACUGCAGUCUCUGACGGUCCACAAGUGAAUGGAAAUGGAACUUCUGAUUGUGAUGACAACGGUGAAAACACAAAAAUAUGUGAGUAACUUCGUUACCUGAAGGUUAAUUGACUGGACUAUGUGAAUAGAUAGUAUUUUAAAAUGCAGUUGAUUACAGCUGUGAAAAUUUAUUUUGAAAGGGGGGAGCGGGGGUUGAAAAUUACUACUCCUGUCAACUAACCUUGAUAAGCGCUGAGCAUAUUAGGAAUACGGUGUCAUUGUCAUGUGUUUAUUUAUAUCAUGCCGUGCUUUCAUAGGAAACUUUUCUGUAAAUAUUGUGAUAUGAGUGCGUUUUGACAUCUUGUACCCUCAUAGGAUCAACUGCAUUAAAAGUGUUGAGUUUCUCUCUGUCUUUCACUUUAUUGGAGUUGUUUACAUCUUAUGGUAAUAACUAUUGUAUUUCCUUUGUAAAUACUUGAUUGGCAUAAGUUCAAUCAAGCCAUUAUAAGCUUACAGAUGCAAUAGAUCAGGAUAGCUAGUACCAUAUUGUUGAAAUGGUGUGACUUCAUAAGCAUCAUUAGGCUCAAUUUACGGAACAAAUAAAACAAGCGAAGGACUAGAUUACAAGGCUCGACAAACCCGUCGAGCACAUGACAUUUGGAUCUAUUCUGGAGGAUAGAAUUACGAAGGCUUGACGACCUGUCAAGUUGGGGGUCGAUGGAUCGUCGAACAUUCGACAAUGUUUUUCAGAUGAACCUGGGUGCUUUGGUGGCUAAUGGUGAGAAGAUCAUGGAGCUAAAUCUAUGCAUCCAUUUGAGGAUAUUUCAUUCUCGUUUUCGUUGUCGACUUGUCUGGGUACGUGGAUGUGUCUCUGUGUUCUUAACGAGUGGUAUGGAUUUCUUAUAUGAAGCUUUUCGUGAAGGGCUUCAUGUCAGAAAUCAGAUACCCUUGAUUCAUUUAGACAUCAUAGUAGGAUGCAACUAUAUUGUUAUGUACAGUUCAAUUAUUUUAGCUGUAUCUCAGUCCACAUUGAACUGCUUGAUAUACACUUUCAAUUAUUGUCCCUAUAUCUCUGCAAUCUGUAUGUAUUACAUUAUCAAUCCAUUCAUUGUUUACAGUUAAACAAGCCAAGAUUUUCAUCUGGCCUACAAUGUGUAGUUAUGAUUUUUGCUCC